AGUGAACGCUGGCGGUAGGCCUAACACAUGCAAGUCGAACGGCAGCACAGUAAGAGCUUGCUCUUACGGGUGGCGAGUGGCGGACGGGUGAGGAAUACAUCGGAAUCUACUUUUUCGUGGGGGAUAACGUAGGGAAACUUACGCUAAUACCGCAUACGACCUACGGGUGAAAGCAGGGGAUCUUCGGACCUUGCGCGAUUGAAUGAGCCGAUGUCGGAUUAGCUAGUUGGCGGGGUAAAGGCCCACCAAGGCGACGAUCCGUAGCUGGUCUGAGAGGAUGAUCAGCCACACUGGAACUGAGACACGGUCCAGACUCCUACGGGAGGCAGCAGUGGGGAAUAUUGGACAAUGGGCGCAAGCCUGAUCCAGCCAUACCGCGUGGGUGAAGAAGGCCUUCGGGUUGGAAAGCCCUUUUGUUGGGAAAGAAAAGCAGCAGGUUAAUACCGCUGUUCUGACGGUACCCAAAGAAUAAGCACCGGCUAACUUCGUG
rnacentral:rRNA from 1 species